rnacentral:rRNA from 1 species
CCUGCCAGUAGUCAUAUGCUUGUCUCAAAGAUUAAGCCAUGCAUGUCCAAGUACAAGCCUCACUAAGGUGAAACCGCGAAUGGCUCAUUAAAUCACACCUAAUCUACUGGAUAGUUAACAGGUACUUGGAUACCUGCGGUAAUUCUGGAGCUAAUACAUGCGAAAAGCCUCGAACUUACGUGAGAGGUGCUUUUAUUAGAUCAAAACCAAUCGGCUUCGGCUGUACUCUUGGUGACUCUGAAUAACUUUGGGCUGAUCGUAUAGCCUUGCGCUGACGACAUAUCCUUCGAAGGUGUGCCCUAUCAAA